ACACUCCUACGGGAGGCAGCAGUGGGGAAUAUUGGACAAUGGGCGCAAGCCUGAUCCAGCCAUGCCGCGUGAGUGAUGAAGGCCCUAGGGUUGUAAAGCUCUUUCACCGGUGAAGAUAAUGACGGUAACCGGAGAAGAAGCCCCGGCUAACUUCGUGCCAGCAGCCGCGGUAAUACGAAGGGGGCUAGCGUUGUUCGGAUUUACUGGGCGUAAAGCGCACGUAGGCGGACUAUUAAGUCAGGGGUGAAAUCCCGGGGCUCAACCCCGGAACUGCCUUUGAUACUGGUAGUCUUGAGUUCGAGAGAGGUGAGUGGAAUUCCGAGUGUAGAGGUUAAAUUCGUAGAUAUUCGGAGGAACACCAGUGGCGAAGGCGGCUCACUGGCUCGAUACUGAUGCUGAGGUGCGAAAGCGUGGGGAGCAAACAGGAUUAGAAACCCUGGUAGUCCCAUGAU
rnacentral:rRNA from 1 species